rnacentral:rRNA from 1 species
AAUGAACGUUGGCGGCGUGGAUUAGGCAUGCAAGUCGAGCGAGAACCCCGCAAGGGGGGACAGCGGCAAACGGGGUAGUAAUGUGUCGGAACGUGCCCAGAGGACGGGGAUAGCGGCGGGAAACUGCCGGUAAUACCCGAUGAUCUCGAGAGAGCAAAGGUGUGAUUCCGCCUUUUGAGCGGCCGACAUGGUAUUAGCUAGUUGGCGGGGUAACGGCCCACCAAGGCUGUGAUGCCUAGGGGAUGUGAGAGCAUGAUCCCCACCAUUGGGACUGAGACACUGCCCAGACACCUACGGGUGGCUGCAGUCGAGAAUCUUCGUCAAUGGGCGAAAGCCUGAACGAGCGACGCCGCGUGCGGGAUGAAGGCCUUUGGGUUGUAAACCGCUGUCGAGGGGGAUGAAGGCAUUCAGGUCCUCCUGAAUGUUUGACAGAGCCCUGGAGGAAGCACGGGCUAAGUUCGUGCCAGCAGCCGCCGUAAAAC